AGGAUGAACGCUGGCGGUCUGCUUAACACAUGCAAGUCGCACGGGCAGGGGUAACUCUGUCAGUGGCGGACGGGUGAGUAACGCGUAGGUAUCUAUCUCUGGGUGGGGGACAACUGUGGGAAACUACAGCUAAUACCGCAUGACACCUGAGGGUCAAAGGCGCAAGUCGCCUGGAGAGGAGCCUGCGUACGAUUAGCUAGUUGGUGGGGUAAAGGCCUACCAAGGCGACGAUCGUUAGCUGGUCUGAGAGGAUGAUCAGCCACAUUGGGACUGAGACACGGCCCAAACUCCUACGGGAGGCAGCAGUGGGGAAUAUUGGACAAUGGGCGAAAGCCUGAUCCAGCAAUGCCGCGUGUGUGAAGAAGGUCUUCGGAUUGUAAAGCACUUUCGACGGGGACGAUGAUGACGGUACCCGUAGAAGAAGCCCCGGCUAACUUCGUGCCAGCAGCCGC
rnacentral:rRNA from 1 species